GCGGUUUCCAGAGCUCGCUGCGCCCGGGUUCUGACGCUGUGUAAGGCGGCGGCUCUCAGCCAAGCCGCCGCUCAGUUCCAACUACGAGACGCUUGGCACUUGUGUUUGGCUAAACAAGCAAUCAGAAUGACUUCAAUCCAAAGCCUAACUGGAAAAAUUACUCGCGACAGUAUUGACAAAGAAGUCUUAGAAAAGGAGGACCUCCGCAGAAGAGAGAACCCAGGGCCAGCCGCAGAAGAGGAGAGAUUUACCAUACUGGAUGCAUACCCGAAAGGUUGAUUUUAAUCCUUCAUCCCCAAGUUAUACUAACACGGAGCUAUUAAUUUUUUGUCCCUGCUUCCACAGCCAGUGUGGGAAGGGGUACGCUGUGGGAGGCCUUGGGUUGGGGCACCCUUCGAGUGCUUUCUAGUGCGCUGCGGCAAUGGCGCAAAGUGCGGGUGCGCGUGUAUGCCAGAGAGACAGCGGCCCAGGACCAGUGAGAAGGGAGAGGGCGCAUCUGCAAGUCCCCGCGAAGCUCGCGUGAGGUCUGCCACCUGCAAGUCACUUUGGGAGAGGCUCGUCCGUCCCUUGUUUCUCAGGAACAGCAAAGGAAAGUUAGGACAGGCACCGAGGGGUGGUCCGGAAGGGGUCCAAAUACCUACCGCUCCUCCCCCACCUCGAUGAAGAUGUCACCUGCAGCCACACACAGCUUGCUGCCCUGGACAAGGGAGCCGUGUGCUGUGUGGACAGGGACUGUUGGGUCACCCCGGAUCUGCCUUCUGGGCCGCUUCCCAUGGGCUGUUCCGCUUUCGAUGGGAAGUUCCAGUGCUGAUUUGUGAAAGCAGUGUGGACGGACUAUGGCAAGUUUGGAACUUUGACUCUGUCACCACAUGAACCCUUACAGUUCUACCUAGUUUCAGGGCCACUGGAAAGUAUUUCAGACACAAGGAGUGAACAGGAAAAAAUAAAUACAUGGCCCAAACCAGAAAGCAUGAUUCAAACACUGUGCUCAGGACCAAGGAAAUGGGAUCCCUGAGUCCAACCAGAGGAGUGACGCCGGUUACAUACGAUGUAGAAUACUGCGCUGUCCCUGAGCACAGUGGCGCACCCGAGUCCCAGCAACUGGGAGGCUGAGAUGCGAGGAUUGCAAGUUUGAGCCCAGCCCGGGCAACUCAGGGAGACCAUGUCUCAAAAGAAAAAGAAAAAAAAAGGUGGGAGAGACUGGGGAUGUAGCUGAAUUUGGAAGUCCUGGGUUCAAUCCCCAGUACCACCAAAAACAAAAAUCAAAACCUAUAUUUACAAAUGCUGCAGUUUGGAUGCUGAAUGUUCCCCGAAAGCCCAUGUGUUAAAGUUUGGUCUUCAGCCUGCUCUGGAGAGUUGGUGGGAACUUUUUUUUGUGUGUGGGAACUUUUAUGAGGCAAGGCUGGGAGGGAGGUCCUGAGGUCAUGCCUGGCCCCUUUCUCGUCCUCUUUUUGCUUCCAGGUCAUCUGGGAAGCGGUCUCGAGAUGUUACGUGAUCCUGUCCCAAUGUGCUCCUCCUACCGGCCCAAAGCAAUGGUCCUACCAACCCCGGGCGGAAAUCUCCAGCUAACCUUUCAGUUUAUACAUUUAUUAUCUCGUUUUUCCUUAGAGGGACAUGAAGCUGACGAACAACAAAAAUGUUUUUCUCAAAAUUAAAAAGUCAUUAAAUUAUAUCCUGGAGUGACAUAAA